GACGAACGCUGGCGGCGUGCUUAACACAUGCAAGUCGAACGGAAAGGCCUCUUUCGGGGGGUAUUCGCGUGGCGAAAGGGUGAGUAACACGUGAGUAACCUGCCCUUGACUUUGGGAUAACUUCAGGAAACUGGGGCUAAUAUCGGAUAGGAGCUCCUGCUGCAUGGUGGGGGUUGGAAAGAUUCGGCGGUGGGGGAUGGACCCGCGGCUUAUAUGCUGGUUGGUGGGGUGUUGGUUUCCAAAGGCUUUGCGGGGUGGCGGGCUGGGGAGGGUGCCGGGCAAAAUGGGGAUUGGAUUCGGCCCAGACUUCUACGGGGGGGAAGAAGGGGGAAUAUUGCACAAUGGGUGGGAGCCUGAUGCAGCAACGCCGGGGGCGGGAAGACGGGCUUCGGGUUUGAAACCGCCUUCGCUCAUGACGGAGCUGUGUGUGACGGUAGUGGGUAAAGAAGCACCGGCUAACUACGUG
rnacentral:rRNA from 1 species